GGUCUGCCUGCCCAGUGAAAUAUUUUUAACGGCCGCGGUAUUAUAACCGUGCAAAGGUAGCGUAAUCAUUUGUCUUUUAAAUAAAGACCAGUAUGAACGGCUAAAUGAGGACAAACCUGUCUCCUGCAACCUAUCAGUGAAACUGAUCUUCCAGUCCAAAAGCUGGAAUACAAACAUAAGACGAGAAGACCCUGUGGAGCUUAAAUCACCCACUAUGAUGUACAAACACCACUAGUGAAGGCUUUAGUUGGGGCGACUUCGGAACAAAAUAAAACUUCCGAGCACAGAAUGACAAAUUCUAAACCAAGGCAAACAAGCCUAAGAAAAACUGACCCAGUCAUACUGACCAACGAACCAAGUUACCCCAGGGAUAACAGCGCUAUCUUCUUCAAGAGUCCAUAUCGACAAGAAGGUUUACGACCUCGAUGUUGGAUCAGGGCACCCCAAUGGUGCAACCGCUAUUAAAGGUUCG
rnacentral:rRNA from 1 species